rnacentral:rRNA from 1 species
UACGGGGGGGCAAGCGUUGUUCGGAAUUACUGGGCGUAAAGGCUCGUAGGUGGCCAACUAAGUCAGACGUGAAAUCCCUCAGCUUAACUGGGGAACUGCGUCUGAUACUGAUGGCUUGAGUUUGGGAGAGGGAUGCGGAAUUCCAGGUGUAGCGGUGAAAUGCGUAGAUAAUCGGAGGAACACCGGUGGCGAAGGCGGCAUCCUGGACCCACACGUGACACUGAGGAGCGAAAGCCAGGGAGCGAAACGGG